rnacentral:rRNA from 1 species
UGGGGAAUAUUGCACAAUGGGGGAAACCCUGAUGCAGCAACGCCGCGUGAGUGAUGAAGGCCUUCGGGUUGUAAAGCUCUGUCUUUGGGGACGAUUAUGACGGUACCCAAGGAGGAAGCCACGGCUAACUACGUGCCAGCAGCCGCGGUAAUACGUAGGUGGCAAGCGUUGUCCGGAUUUACUGGGCGUAAAGGAUGCGUAGGCGGAUAUUUAAGUGAGAUGUGAAAUACCCGGGCUCAACUUGGGUGCUGCAUUUCAAACUGGAUAUCUAGAGUGCAGGAGAGGAAAGUGGAAUUCCUAGUGUAGCGGUGAAAUGCGUAGAGAUUAGGAAGAACAUCAGUGGCGAAGGCGACUUUCUGGACUGUAACUGACGCUGAGGCAUGAAAGCGUGGGGAGCAAACA